AGCAGAGAAUUGCGAUUCAGGACACACAAGCUACUACAAAACCAUAGGCAAGUCAUGGAACAAAAAACAGGAAGGCUCUUUUACAGAGGAAAGAGGGGAGUUGGGAUUGCUGUUAUAAACGAAGUCCAUUAGAGCAAACUGGGAGUUCAUAGCAUAGUGGCUUUUCAUUGGCUGAAUUGUCUCACUGGCUGAGCUGUUGCUGGGAGAAGAGGAAAUCUUUUUUCCUGCAACUGGGAUAGUAGUGUCCACCUGCAUGGUCCUUGUCUUCCUGUUGGGGGUGGGAGGGGUCUACAACUAAGGAGUGAGAGGGCAUGAGAUCGCCCCCUGCUGGCCUCCUGACUCCACUUUUGUGAGUUUUCCUUCCACUAAUUUUCACAGGGUGAAUUUAAAAACCCAGUCCUAGCCUCUCCUCCUCCUGUGUAGGAAAAAACCCAGUUCUCCCUUCUCCUGUAUGUUUUUCCUUUCCUUUUACACAGAACACUUAACUUUUGACACUUCUGGCCACCAAAUGUUGGGGCAGGGGGAGCGAUUCCCCACAACCAAUUCUCUGCAACACCAGCUAGGUGUCCUACAGCUAAACUUACUUCUAACAAUGUCUACCUGGGGAUCCCUGGGUGGCGCAGCGGUUUGGCGCCUGCCUUUGGCCCAGGGCGCGAUCCUGGAGACCUGGGAUCAAGUCCCAUGUCGGGCUCCCGGUGCAUGGAGCCUGCUUCUCCCUCUGCCUGUGUCUCUGCGCCUCUCUCUCUCUGUGACUAUCAUAAAUAAAUAAAAAUUAAAAAAAAAAAAAAAAAACAAUGUCUACCUGGAGAUCGUGUCAGAUCCCAUAGAUCAUUUACCAGUGGGUUACUGUGUAUGUGUGGCGAGGGGAAGCUCCAGGGAAAUGUUUUGCUGGGGCAAGGAGUUUAGGUGUGUUGACAGAAAAGGGAAAUAUUGAAGGGAUAUCAGGCAGCCCAGUGACUGGCAUAGAGUAGAGUGAGGUGCUAAGAAUGGGAUGCAUACAGAAACCUCGUGUGAAAGUAACUGAAAAGUUCACAUUGGUGCUCACUUGUCAAGAGUGCAAAACACUAAUACCUAUUUCAUAUCCUUAGUGUGUUGAUUUCUAGGACAGAGCCUGUCCUUUUAUCACCUGCUCAGUAUACGCGCUGGUAAAAUAGAAACCACUUACCAUUUUUGGUUCUUUUUUUUAAAAUAGACUUUAAGAUCACAGCAUAAUUGAGAGGAAGGUACAGGGAUUUCACAUAUACCUCCCACCCCCACAAAUGCAAAGCUUCCCCCAUGAUUAAUGUCCCUACCAAAGUGGCACAUUUGUUUCAAGUGAUGAACCUUCCCUGACACACCCGUAUCACCCCAAGUCCAUAGUUUACUUUAGGGUUCCUCCUUGUUGUUGUAUAUUCCAUGCUGUAAAAACUCACAUAUAUUAUAGUAUCAUACAGAAGAGUUUUAUUGUCCAAAAAGCCCCAUGCUCCACCUAUUCAUCCCACUCUCCACUCCAUACCCUGGCAACCAUUAUCUUUUGACUCCAUAGUUUGGCCUUUUCCACAGUGUCAUACAGCUGAAAUCAUAUACCGUGUGACCUUUUAGAUUGGCUUCUUUCACUUAGUAAUAUGCGUUAAAGUUUCCUCCAUGUCCUUUCAUGCUUGACAGCUCAUUUCUUUUUAGUGCUGUCAUUCAGAACCUGGAACUAGUUUAUUUACCCAUUCACCUACCAUAGGACACCUUGGUUCCUUCUAAGUUUUGGCAAUUAUGAAUGAAGCUGCUAUAAAUACCCAAGGUUUUUAAUUCCUUCGGGUAUCAAGGAGCAUGAUUACUGGAAUAUAUAAGAGAAUGUUUACUUUUGUAAGGAACUGCCAACCUGUCUUCCAAAGUGGCUGUACCAUUUUGCAUUCCCACCAGCAGUGAGAAUUCAUGUUGCUCGGCAUCCUGGGCAGCAUUUGUUGGCCAUCUUUCAGAUUUUGGCCACUCUACUAGGUUGUAUAUUGGUAUCUCCUUGUUGUUGUUGUUUUUAAGUAAGCUCCAUGCUCAGGGUGGAGCCCAACAUGGACUCAUGACCCUGAGACCAAGACCUGAGCUAAGAUCAAGAGUCAGAUGCUUAACUGACUGAGCCUCCCAGGUGCCCCUCCCCUUAUAGUUUUUUGGGGUUUUAAGAUUGUAUUCAUUCAUUUGACAGAGAGAGCACAAGCAGGAGGAAUAGGAGAGGGAGAAGCAGGUUUCCUGCUGAGCAGGGAGCCUGUUGCAGGGCUUGAUGCCAGGACUCUGAGAUCAUGAACUGAGCCAAAGGCAGACACUUAACCAACUGGGCUACCUAGGUGCCCCUCCUUGUUGUUUCAAUUUGCAUAUCCCUGACCAUAUAUGAUGUGGAGCACAUUUUCAUAUGCUUACUUGCCAACUGUGUAUCUUCUCCAGUGAGGUGUCUGUGAAGGUUGGUUCUGUUUAUGUACAAAAAAACCCCAGCUUUUCCCCAAUGUGAGUACUUUUCUUCUUAAUGCUUUUCUGUAGUGCUUAAUUUUUUUCACAGUAAUAUUUCAUUUUUAUGUGAAAAAUGAAGCUAAAGAUGUUUAUAUUUAAAAAAAAAGAAGAAGAAAGAAAAACCCAGGGUAAGCGCACCUGAGUGGCUCAGGCAGUUAAGAAUUCCACUCUUGGUUUCAGCUCAAGUCAUAUCUCAGGGUCAUGAGAUUGAACCCUGCUUUGGGCUCCAUGCUCAGCACAGUCUGCUUGAGAUCUCCUCUCUCUCCCUUCCUCUCUGUCCCUCCCCCCACUGUGGUCUCUCUAAAUAAAUACAUAAAUAAAAUCUUAAAAAAAAAAAACCACCAAGGUGAAAAUAAAAAAAAAUUAAAUACAUACAUACAUACACACACACACGAAACCAGGGUAAGAUGCCUGGCUGGCUUAUUAGUCUGUAGAGCACAUAACUCCUGGUCUCCAAGUCAUGAGUUCAAGCCCUGCACUGGGUACAGAGAUUACUUAAGGAAAUAAAAAAAUAGGGACACCUGAGUGGCUCAGCAGCUGAGCGUCUGCCUUUGGCUCAGGGUGUGACCCUGGAGUCCUGGGAUCAAGUCCCACGUCGGGCUUCCUGCAUGGAGCCUGCUUCUUCUCCCUUUGCCUGUGUCUCUGCCUCUCUCUCAUGAAUAAAUAAAUAAAAUCUUUAAAAAAUUUUUUUUUAAUUAAAAAGGAAAAUAAAAAAAUAAAAAUAAUAGAAACAAAAAAUAAAAGAAAUCAAGGCUGGAAAGAGGCUGAGCAUGAAGACAAGUGCUUGUGUCUGCAACACCCCUCCCCACAUAAGCCUUUACAGAAACACAGCUCUCUCACAACAGAGCCACACCAACACACCCAACCUAUUUCCUUUGCUCAGCACCAUUUAAUGUAUUCAAGAACAGCUUUUUUUUUUUUUUAAACUUGAAAUAGGAAACAUCAUAGUCUUUUAGGAGCAAUACAUUUAAUACAAUCAUAAAAUUUCAAAUGAAAAAUAUAUAUUAUUCAUGCUACAGGUUUUCAAUCCUUCUUGGACAACAUAAAAAACACAGUACUCAAACUGCAUGUUUUCACAGGAGGAACACGAAUCUCAUUUGGACACAAAGACAAGUUUAAAAAAAAAAA
rnacentral:lncRNA from 1 species